AGGCUUGCCCCAACGAAAGUGGCGCACGGGUGCGUAACGCGUAUGCAACCUACCUUAUUCAGGGGGAUAGCCCGAAGAAAUUCGGAUUAACACCGCAUAAAAUCACAGCUCAGCAUUGAGUAAUGAUCAAAUAUUUAUAGGAAUAAGAUGGGCAUGCGUGUCAUUAGCUAGUUGGCGGGGUAACGGCCCACCAAGGCGACGAUGACUAGGGGAUCUGAGAGGAUGACCCCCCACACUGGUACUGAGACACGGACCAGACUCCUACGGGAGGCAGCAGUAAGGAAUAUUGGUCAAUGGAGGCAACUCUGAACCAGCCAUGCCGCGUGCAGGAAGACAGCCCUCUGGGUCGUAAACUGCUUUUAUUCGGGAAUAAACCUUUCUACGUGUAGAGAGCUGAAUGUACCGAAGGAAUAAGGAUCGGCUAACUCCGUGCCAGCAGCCGCGGUAAUACGGAGGAUCCAAGCGUUAUCCGGAUUUAUUGGGUUUAAAGGGUGCGUAGGCGGCUUAUUAAGUCAGGGGUGAAAGACGGUGGCUCAACCAUCGCAGUGCCUUUGAUACUGAUGAGCUUGAAUGAACUAGAGGUAGGCGGAAUGUGACAAGUAGCGGUGAAAUGCAUAGAUAUGUCACAGAACACCGAUUGCGAAGGCAGCUUACUAUGGUUUUAUUGACGCUGAGGCACGAAAGCGUGGGGAUCAAACAGGAUUAGAUACCCUGGUAGUCCACGCCCUAAACGAUGAAUACUCGCUGUUAGCGAUACACAGUUAGCGGCUAAGCGAAAGCGUUAAGUAUUCCACCUGGGGAGUACGCCCGCAAGGGUGAAACUCAAAGGAAUUGACGGGGGCCCGCACAAGCGGAGGAGCAUGUGGUUUAAUUCGAUGAUACGCGAGGAACCUUACCCGGGCUUGAAAGUUAGUGAAUGGUUUAGAGAUAGACCAGUCCGCAAGGACACGAAACUAGGUGCUGCAUGGCUGUCGUCAGCUCGUGCCGUGAGGUGUUGGGUUAAGUCCCGCAACGAGCGCAACCCCUAUGUUUAGUUGCCAGCACGUUAAGGUGGGGACUCUAAACAGACUGCCUGUGCAAACAGAGAGGAAGGAGGGGACGACGUCAAGUCAUCAUGGCCCUUACGUCCGGGGCUACACACGUGCUACAAUGGAUGGUACAGAGGGCAGCAAGCUGGCAACAGCAAGCAAAUCUCAAAAAGCCAUUCACAGUUCGGAUAGAGGUCUGCAACUCGACCUCUUGAAGUUGGAUUCGCUAGUAAUCGCGCAUCAGCAAUGACGCGGUGAAUACGUUCCCGGGCCUUGUACACACCGCCCGUCAAGCCAUGGAAGUUGGGGGUACCUAAAGUAUGUAACCGCAAGGAGCGUCCUAGGA
rnacentral:rRNA from 1 species